GUGACAGCCACCAAAUAAGGUGGAAAAGUAGCAGACUUGGAGGUGAGAGUGGAGUAUGACUCUUUAAGGAGAGCGAGAGACAGAUUUGGAAAAGUAUAGAUAAGUUACUCUGGGAGUCCAUAAGCAUUUCUGAACAGAUGUGUUUUGAGGGACUUCUUAAACAAUUGAAGACUAUGGGAGAGUCUGAUGAGGGUAGGCAGGCUGUUCCAAAACAAGGGAGCCACCCGCGAGAAGUCCUGCAAGCGCAAGUUAGCAGUAAGGGUGCGAGCAGUGGACAGGAGAAGGUCACCGGCAGAGCGGAGAGACCAAGAAGGGGCAUGCUAUGAAUAAGGGAAGAAAUGUAAGAAGGGCUAGAGUUGGUUAGAGCUUUACAGGUAAGGGUUAGUAUUUUGAAUUGACACCUAUAG